rnacentral:tRNA from 1 species
GCGGGUAUCGCCAAGAGGUAAGGCAACGUGCUUCCAACUCGUCAUCGAGGGUUCGAUUCCCUCUACCCGCU